UCCUUCCAAACUUUUAGUUUGCAUUUAGGGACUUGUCUGUAGUUAUGUGGAAAGGAAUUUGUUAGGGUUGAAUGUAUUGAUUUAGGAAAAUGAAUCUAAGGUUCUGUGGGUAAAGUCUUAGAGUUAGGUCUUGACGAUAUUGAUGGGUGUUUCGUGGAAAAUGAACUUAACUCAUUUGUGUAUGAUUAUGGGUAAAUGAAAUUUGAUGUGUUUGAG
rnacentral:lncRNA from 1 species